rnacentral:rRNA from 1 species
ACGCUCGACACCUACGGGAGGUAGCAGUGGGGAAUAUUGCACAAUGGAGGAAACUCUGAUGCAGCGAUGCCGCGUGAGGGAAGAAGGUUUUCGGAUUGUAAACCUCUGUCUUUGGGGACGAUAAUGACGGUACCCAAGGAGGAAGCUCCGGCUAACUACGUGCCCGCAGCCGCGGUAAUCUGAGCGGGCUGGCAAGGC